rnacentral:rRNA from 1 species
CCUACGGGCGGCAGCAGUGAGGAAUAUUGGUCAAUGGACGAGAGUCUGAACCAGCCAAGUAGCGUGAAGGAUGACUGCCCUAUGGGUUGUAAACUUCUUUUAUAUGGGAAUAAAACGUUCCACGUGUGGGAUUUUGUAUGUACCAUAUGAAUAAGGAUCGGCUAACUCCGUGCCAGCAGCCGCGGUAAUACGGAGGAUCCGAGCGUUAUCCGGAUUUAUUGGGUUUAAAGGGAGCGUAGGUGGAUUGUUAAGUCAGUUGUGAAAGUUUGCGGCUCAACCGUAAAAUUGCAGUUGAAACUGGCAGUCUUGAGUACAGUAGAGGUGGGCGGAAUGCGUGGUGGAGCGGUGAAAUGCUUAGAUAUCACGAAGAACUCCGAUUGCGAAGGCAGUUCACUGGACUGCAACUGACACUGAGGCUCGAAAGUGUGGGUAUCAAACAGGAUUAGAUACCCUUGUAGUC